rnacentral:tRNA from 1 species
GUCCCCAUCGUCUAGCCUGGCCUAGGACAUCGCCCUUUCACGGCGGUAACGGGGGUUCGAAUCCCCCUGGGGACGCCA